UACGAAGGGGGCUAGCGUUGUUCGGAAUUACUGGGCGUAAAGCGCGCGUAGGCGGUUUUGCAAGCCAGAGGUGAAAUGCCUGAGCUCAACUUAGGAAUUGCCUUUGGGACUGCGAGGCUUUGAGGACGGGAGAGGUGAGUGGAAUUCCCAGUGUAGAGGUGAAAUUCGUAGAUAUUGGGAAGAACACCGGUGGCGAAGGCGGCUCACUGGCCCGUUUCUGACGCUGCAGCGCGAAAGCGUGGGGAUCAAACAGG
rnacentral:rRNA from 2 species